AUAAUCUUCUCGUUGCGUUGGGUAGUUUCUUCUAUUUGGUCGGGCUUCUGUUUCUUCGACAUUUUCCUCAUUUCCAUUCUCAAUUUUAUCAAGGAUUUACUAUACUCAAAGAUUUUUUACUUUGCGGAAGCAACGUAAAAAAAGGAAUGGACAGCAAAUUUUCAUGUGAUUCUUGUAAAUUACAGUUAAGAUCAGUUAACAGAGAAAAUAAUGUCAAAAAC
rnacentral:lncRNA from 1 species